AGCUUCAUAAAGUGGCUUAGUGGUUAGCACGUCCGCCUCAAACCUCCAGGGUCGGGGGUUCGAUUCCCGCCGGGGCCG